CCUACGGGAGGCAGCAGUGAGGAAUAUUGGUCAAUGGACGGAAGUCUGAACCAGCCAUGCCGCGUGCAGGAAGACGGCUCUAUGAGUUGUAAACUGCUUUUGUACAAGGGUAAACCUGAAUACGUGUAUUCAGCUGAAAGUACUGUACGAAUAAGGAUCGGCUAACUCCGUGCCAGCAGCCGCGGUAAUACGGAGGAUCCAAGCGUUAUCCGGAUUUAUUGGGUUUAAAGGGUGCGUAGGCGGAUUGAUAAGUUAGAGGUGAAAUGUCCGAGCUUAACUCGGGAACUGCCUCUAAUACUGUUGAUCUAGAGAGUAGAUGCGGUAGGCGGAAUGUAUGGUGUAGCGGUGAAAGGCUUAGAGAUCAUACAGAACACCGAUUGCGAAGGCAGCUUACCAAUCUAUAUCUGACGUUGAGGCACGAAAGCGUGGGGAGCAAACAGGAUUAGAGACCCCUGUAGUC
rnacentral:rRNA from 1 species